AGGGACUCUUGCUCUGGGCCACAUCAAUGGUGGAGGCAGGCCUGUUUUAAGCAGCAUCCCAUUUAGUUUUGUAGCCACAGCCACUCACGUGGCACCAGUACAUGGACAGGCUGUGGACACUUCUGUAGGGAUUCAUGUCCCUCACCUUGAAUGGAGAUGAGGUGGAUGAAAGGCAGGUCAGGGAGAAGGCGAUCCAUAUGGCAGCUGCCCCUCCAUAAAGUGGAGCAGAGAGCACGACCACUGAUAGUGCAUUUGGUUAUUGGAUAUGUAUAUUGGGCACUGACUUGGUGCUGGGUCUCGGGGGAUGUAGAGGUGCAGAGAUAAAGUCCUGUCUCUGCACAGAGGCAGAAAGGGACACAGUGGCCGUAGUUACGGUGGGCUCAUGAGAACGGCAGUCUAGCAAAGGUGGAGCAAAGCAGUGUAGGGGAGCCCAAAGGAAGAGCAGUUCUCUUUCUGAGGGAGUCAGAAGGCUUCACAGAAAAGGGGAUGCCCCAGUGGGGCUUUGAAGGGUGGAUAGGAGUGCAGGAGUGAGGGGAAGGCUGCCUGGAGCACUAGCUAGACAGAGUGUGGAAGGGCCUGGUGUCUGGGGCCCAGGCAGGACAGUUCAGGGUGGCCAGGACAUGGAAGAAGGAGAGGCCUGAGACGAGCCGGAGAAGGAUGUUGCCAAGGGCUUCAGUCGGCCAGGCUUGGCGCUUGGACCUUGCUCCGUAAGCACCCCGGAGGUUUUCAAGGAGGGGAGGGGCAUGGCUGAAGCCACCGUCCCGUUCGCGUUUCAUUCCUCCCCCACCCCAUGGCUGGUAACAGCAGGUUUUCUGCCCGAGUUAUCCAGGUCAGAGUCAUAAUCCCUUACACCACCAUGUGGACAGCUUUAGGCUAUGUCUGGACUAGGGUGAAAAUAGUGUUUUGUUCACUGUCAGGAGAGAAGACGAGUUGUACAGCCAGGAGGGCUCUGGGAGCCCAAGUGUUCAGGUAAUUAGCCAAUGAGUCAUGCCAGCCUCUUGACAUGGAUUCCUUGGGAAAGUAAGCAGAGUGUCGCUGGGCUCCAUGCAGAUGCUUGUUCUCCCCAUGCAGAGGCUUCGCCGUCAGAUCCCUGGGUCUUCCCUGUGCCUGGCACGGUGUCUGUCUGGAAUGUCUCUGGUCAGUGUUUUAAAUUUCUUCAUUGAUGACCGUCUAGGCCGGGCUUUCCAAUUCCAGACCAGACUGUAAUCAGCAAAAAUACCUAGACUCUCUCCUGCAGACUCAGAGAACGCUGUCAUGUAUUACAAACAGAUUAUAUUCCUUCUUAAGAGAGUGAAAUAGUUUAGGUCAUUUAGUAUAUCACUGAGAGCAAAAAGAAAGCAGGUUGACCGUUGAGAGACUGUGGACGAUUUACCUCAUCUGUUUAGAGUCAGCUUUUGUUGCUGUUGUUAAUUUCAGUUUAUAGGUUUUUGGAAGAUGAAAGUUUUGUGUCCAUGGACUGACUCUAGUUCCUGGAGUCUUUUUUUUUUUNGUUCCUGGGAUGAGGAGAAUGGGUUAGGAAAAUAAUAUGAUACUGGAGCAUUUGGGAGAGCACUGAUAGAGGCCUCCUGCUGAAGGGGCAUGCGGUGGAGAGCUCUGGGCUGACGUUCAGGAGACCCAAGUUCCUCCCCACUGCCCUCCCAGUUCCUGCUUUGGUGACUGUGGACCAGUCACCUGAUUUCUUGGAGCCUCCCUUUCCUCAUCAGAAAAUGGGAAAAACGAUGCCUCCCUUGGUAGGAUUAUUGGCAUUGUUUAUUUAGAUGAGCUGUGCAUCACAAGCGCCUUGCAAACUGUAAAAUAUUACGGGAUGUUACUCAUUAUUUCUUUAUGAAACACACUUCUAUAGUAUUGCUAAAAACCCUUUCUGACAGAGCUGGAGUUAAGACUUCCAAGUUCACAUACACAUUUUCACAGAGACCUUAGAGCAAAUCCUGUGGCUCGGACUCGAUCCCUGGCCCGGGAACUUUCAUAUGCCAUGGGUGCACCUGAAAAAGAAAAAAAAAAUUAUUAAGCAAACCAGGACACUUCUAAAGGUGAACAGGGGCAGUGCUGUUAUCCGUUGUGGCCAGAAAAUGGGCAUAAACCUGGAGUGCCCAGGCACUUAGAUCGAGUCACUCUAAGUCACCCUGCCUCUGUGCCUGUGAUCAUGAUGCCUGACCAAGGCAAUUGGGAAGAUUGGAUCAGCAGGUUUUCCUGCCACUGCUAAAGUGUCAGGGACUGUCUGCAUUACUUACUGCUAUUCUGAGUGAGGUGACUUGCCUAAGAUCAUUCAGCAAGUUGGCAGCAUAACAUUUUUAAACUGGUUGAGACCUUAGAGAGAAUCUGAAAUGGUCAAGUUGGCCCUAGAGCUUUCACUGCCAUGGGAGUUGGGGAACGUUCGGCUCUGCUGACUGCCAAUCUGAAGGGAAGGGGAACAGAAAUGUGGCUUGGGGGUGUGAAGGUGGCAGUGAGGGACUGGGAGGUCUUUCCCUGGCUCUGGAAUGUCUGCAUCCUCAUCAGGCUGUGUCCCUUUGGCACGCAGGAGAUGCCACUAGGUCCAUUGCAGCUUAGAUGAGAUUUAAUGGCCAGAAGCAGUCUUCUGAACUGACUGCCCCUGCUCCCCUGGGGCCUCAAAGAUACGACUGGCUGGGAGCUAGUGGGGGUUCAGAGUUUUGGAAGGCAUUGAGGAAGGAAUUAAAAAUAACAGCAAGUGUGCCUUUUCUUUCUCUUUGAUUGUGGUAAACGCAUGGAAUGUGCCAGGGUACUUGGCCCCAAAUAACCCCUCCUGCCAAUGGAAUUCGGCAGAAAACACAGAAAGACUUUGCACUGUUUCACUGCUGCCUCCUGUUUGUGGGAUUCAUUUCUUCGAUCAUCCGAGCCUCAUCUGUUCUCACUGGCCCCAGAUAAUUUGUUGGAAGCCCAGAGAGGGCCUUGAAUUCUCUCUGUUCUCCAACCAAACUGUUUGCUGUGGGCGAGGCCCCGUCUCAUGAGCUCCAAGGAGAGCAGCUGGAGUGACAAAGAGGACCAGUUACAGGCUGAGAAAAGCGAAGCGUAAAUUCAAACCAAACUUGGCACUUGGUUGGAGAACUUCAGCUGAUACCGUAGUGCUUUGGUCGUCACUCUUUGUGGCUGGGCCAUGUCUUAUAAAUAGAACAAGAUGCAUUCCCUCCCGCCCCCCUUUUUAACCCUACAGACGCAAGGAGGCAUGUGUGUGGGUGAGCAUGGGAUGGGCAGGGAGUAUUAAUUAUUUAUGUUUCAGUUCAUCGGAGAGUCAGCAUGGGAACUGGGCCCUGGGCUUCAUGGAGAUGACUGGGCCAUCUUGUGGGUAAGGAUGGAAUAUGCUUUUGUCCAGCUCUCUUCCCCACUGCUCCCAUCCCCUCCUUAGCCACAAAGCCCCUGGUUUCUCAUGCUUGGCCACUGCAGUCAGCCAGUUGUCUCCCUCCAUUUCUGAUCCAUCCUAUAUUCUGGAUCAGGGGCCAGACUCACUGUAUUAGGACACUUUGGGCUGCAAGUAACCUGAAUUCAACUACCAGCUUCCCCAGUGGGGGCUUGUCAUCUCCCAUAAGAAGUCUGGAGGCAAGGAGGUUUCAGGCACCAGCACGGACUUGGGAACCUUCCAUCUUUCUGCUUUGCCAUCUUUAGCCUGAUGGCUUCAGGCUGCAUGAUCCUCUGAUAGCUUCAGACAUUGCUUCCAGGGCCCGAAAGACUGCUGCUCCUUGGGGGUCUCUUUAUCCAGAAAGGAAAUCUUUCCCAGAUGCCUCCAGUGUUGUGUCACGUGCAGUCACUGAUGAAAAUGGUAGAUUGUAAGAAGCAUCUUAAAAUCAAAAGACCCAGGCUAUUUCUUUUCUUCUCUCUCUCUCUUUUUUUUCUUUUUUUUUUUUUUGCUUUUUAGGGCCCCACCCACGGCAUAUGGAGGUUCUCCGGUUACUGGUUGAAUUGGAGCUACAGCUGCUGGCCUUUGCCACAACCACAGCAGCACAGGAUCCGAGCUGUGUCUGGGACCUACACCACAGCCCACGGCAACGUCAGAUCCUUAACCCACUGAGCAAGGCCAGGGAUGGAACUUGCGUCCUCAUGGAUGCUGGUCAGAUUCAUUAACCGCUGAACCAUGACAGGAACUCUGUCUUUCUUUGGCUCGUUAUGGUACUUAGGACUGUGCUACGCACUCAGUAAAUGUGGGUGAAUACUUGUUCACUGCUGUUUUCCUUCUCUCCCAGUAGACCCCUGAACAGUUAUGUCUUGCUAAUUUCAGAGGUUAAGGUGGAAAACCAAUCAGAGGCCAGAUGUUGCCUUCGUGGAGCUUAUAGUGGAGAUGGAAAGGCGGUUGGGUUACUGUGUUUGGAGUAUCUAACCAGGUGGACCUUAGCGGUCUGCUGUGGGGCAGCCUAGGAGCAGUUCUGAAGUUGUGGCUCAGGGGGGACAAAGGGAAGUGAGUCUCACAGAAGGAGACCAUCAGGGUCUCUGAACACUGGGUUUGAGGACAACGUAUUUUCUGACCCAAGCUAGGUCCUUUCAAGCAGCUUUCUGUCCCACCCCUCUACCAGUCUUGUUUUCCUGUUGACAAAAUGAAGAUUAAAAACUUGCCCUUGAGAAUGGAGUGGGGGCAGGGGGCAGGGCUAAGAGCCUCCCGGCCCUGGGGGAAAUUUUCUAAAGGUUCUUGCGGUAUUCUAGCUUCAGAACCCUGUGAAAUUUAAUUGCAUGUUUAGCGUCUUUGUGCGUCUCACUGGCUUUGAAGUGCUGGAAACUUUCUCUGAAAGCAUAUAGAUGAAGAAAUGAGAAUUCUAUAAAUGGUUCGUGGUUAAAAACAAAGUGCUGGCCAAUUUAUAGAAAUUUGAGGUUGUUUUCUGAUGGAACAUUCUGCAGACAUGGAAUACCCUGGAGUCUUCCUGUCACAGUCACCUAAUAACGGACUUCAGGUCUGCAAAUGCUUUUUCAUUCCAGUUCAGAGAAAACAAACCCUGUCCCAGGGCCUUACGGUUUAUUUUCCUAUUGAUCUAGGAGCUGGGUUGACUCGGGACCCCCUGGGGAACAGCUCAAAGCUAAUUAAAGAUGUUUGUUUGAGGUUUGCCUGUUUUUCUUGCUUGAUUGAGAAAGUUGCAGUUUGGGUUUUUAUUGUUAAAGAAGGAGAAUCUGUCACCAGGGCUGAUCCAAGAGGUGGGGGGUAGGAGGGAAUUGUACACUUCAGCACACACGUGACAAGUCCAUUCCCCCUCCCCUUAGCGAGGCCCCCCACAGAGAGGCAUCUUUGAGCUCUGGGUGGGAACCAGAGCUGCCACUUGCCUUGCAAAUGCCCGAGUCUCUAGGAGUCGGGGCAGGGGAGCCUGGGCGUGAAACCCAAUGAAGCUGUUCCAGUGUGAGGCCGGUUCUGUUUGCCCAGCUUGAGUUCUGAAGUUAAUGGUCCAAGGCCCCCACUCAGGGAGAGUCAGCAUGUGGGGAGGUGGAGGGCCUGACAGCCAUUCCAGGGGGCCCCCUGACCCUUUGUUUAACCGCGGCUGUGGACCAGUGGUCUCAGAUGUUUACCCGCGCCUGUUUAUAAGAGGGAAGUGUGGUCAUAUUUCUAUCUCUUUUGUGGGCUGCACGGUUGCCUUAUUGGGGCUCAUGUGGGAAGUGGUUACCAUUCAGAGGAGGGUGAAAUAACAGUACUCACAAAGGGACUUUGAUCCAGGAAUCUUUUUGAAUGUUACCUUUUGGCCACUGUGUUUUUUAUUUUUAUUUUUUUGCCUGUCGGCCUUAACUUGACUGAUGAGAAAAUCGAACCACAUGCUGAACCUCAUUCUACCCAGCUGGGCUGAAAUCAAAACGGCAAGUCAGAGUGCUCCUCGUUUCCCUGGGUUUCAUUGUGGGGUCCACCCCCAGACCCAUAGUUCUGCACAGCUGGAGACCUUCUGCUUCAGCUCUUCUCUGGGCGUCUGUAUCUGAGCAUCCCAGUGAUGCUUGGAAUUGGGCUUUGGCCACGCCAUCCCAUCCACCUUCCACAACCUACACAGGUCUUCAUUGUCAUCAUUACCGGAGCUCCCAGGGGCAAUGAACUGUUGAAUCAGCCAGUGAACAGACUCAUGAAGGAAGUGUCCUGAUCCUCCAGUGAGGCUGGGGAACCUCAGCUACUCUCUGGUGGAGCUUGGCUUUCUGACUUCAAAGAAGGUAGCUUGACAUCUCUGGUCUUUACAUCUAUAAAAUGACAAGCUCCGAGCGAGACUCUCAGAAGUCUGUAUCAGCUCUAAUAUUUCCUGAGACCUUUUCCCUCUCUUCCUUAACUUCUUGCUUUUUUGCUCUUGAUGCACCUAUUUUCCUGGGGGACAAAAUCUAAUUUUUCAUCUGAUGCUCCUCAUUCAGAGGUGGCCCAUUCCUUAUUGUUAUUAUUAUGCCUUUUUAGG
rnacentral:lncRNA from 1 species